AUACUUACCUGGACGCGGUGUAUAUGGCUGAUCAUGAAGGGUCAUGGCCUAGAUUAGUGACUUCCAAUGCACUUUGGAAGGGCGCUCGUCUAAGAUGUCCCCAUUAAGGGAGAGUCUACGUCAUAAUUUGUUCCCGAGGGGAACGUGUCCGCGCGGCACUUUG